rnacentral:rRNA from 1 species
CAGCCGCCGCGGUAAUACGAAGGGGGCUAGCGUUGCUCGGAAUUACUGGGCGUAAAGGGCGCGUAGGCGGACAAUUAAGUCGGGGGUGAAAGCCCGGGGCUCAACCUCGGAAUUGCCUUCGAUACUGGCUGUCUUGAGUGUGAGAGAGGUGUGCGGAACUCCGAGUGUAGAGGUGAAAUUCGUAGAUAUUCGGAAGAACACCAGUGGCGAAGGCGACACACUGGCUCACUACUGACGCUCAUGCACGAAAGCGUGGGGAGCAAACAGGAUUAGAUACCCGGGUAGUCCCUGUCUCUUAUAC